AUUGAACGCUGGCGGCAGGCCUAACACAUGCAAGUCGAACGAGUGGCGGACGGGUGAGUAAUGUCUGGGAAACUGCCUGAUGGAGGGGGAUACCUACUGGAAACGGUAGCUAAUACCGCAUACCAUUGGAUGUGCCCAGCUGGGAUUAGCGAGUAGGUGGGGUAACGGCUAACCUGGGCGACGAUCCCUAGCUGGUCUGAGAGGAUGACCAGCCACACGGGAACUGUGACACGGUCCAGCAUCCUACGGGAGGCAGCAGUGGGGACUAUUGCACAAUGGGCGAAAGCCUGAUGCAGCCAUGCCGCGUGUAUGAGGAAGGCCUUCGGGUUGUAAAGUACUGUCAGCGGGGAGGCGUUACCCGCAGAAGAAGCACCGGCUAACUCCGUGCCAGCAGCCGCGGUAAUAC
rnacentral:rRNA from 1 species